AGGAUAUCAUCUGUAUGGUGACAGAUGAUAGCUGAAGGGUGGAGUUUUCGAACAGGGUGUAUGAUGUUGGCUACCACUGUUUGACAAAUCAUCAGGCUAUUUUUCAUGCCCUGAGGCAGUACUAUCCAGUGGUAUCUUUGCAUGGUUGUGUUUUGAGUGGAUUUAGAG